ACGUUCGCAGACCAUGGCUAACCGAUUCUGGAAGCUGUGGGUUAGAGACUAUCUUCCAACACUAACUCGGAAACCGAAGUGGCUCACACCAGUAAAACCCAUUGCAGUCGGCGACGUCGUCAUCAUCGUGGACCCAAACCUACGGCGGAACUGCUGGCCGAAGGGUCGAGUUAUCUGUGUCAAACCUGGUGCAGAUGGACAAGUGAGAUGGGCGACGGUGCAGACAGCCAACGGAAUCUACUAGAGACCUGCCGUUAAACUCGCUGUCCUGGACGUAGGCGUUGAGAAGAAUGCUCUUCAGGAAGACCCUAACCGCAUUCCGGGGGGAGUGUUAAUAGCGCCAUACAGUUCAGCGAGCCCCUCGGCGCCCAUACAGCAAAUCAACAUCAACAAACCGCGCCCUUCGCCUUCUCGAGGGAUUGGCACGAAUAUCGGUCACGGACAAGACAGUCAGAUAGGAAGAAAGAAAAAAAGUCAAGUCAUUCGGUAAAAAGUAGCGAAACACUAACUCGGAAACCGAAGUGGCUCACACCAGUAAAACCCAUUGCAGUCGGCGACGUCGUCAUCAUCGUGGACCCAAACCUACGGCGGAACUGCUGGCCGAAGGGUCGAGUUAUCUGUGUCAAACCUGGUGCAGAUGGACAAGUGAGAUGGGCGACGGUGCAGACAGCCAACGGAAUCUACGAGAGACCUGCCGUUAAACUCGCUGUCCUGGACGUAGGCGUUGAGAAGAAUGCUCUUCAGGAAGACCCUAACCGCAUUCCGGGGGGAGUGUUAAUAGCGCCAUACAGUUCAGCGAGCCCCUCGGCGCCCAUACAGCAAAUCAACAUCAACAAACCGCGCCCUUCGCCUUCUCGAGGGAUUGGCACGAAUAUCGGUCACGGACAAGACAGUCAGAUAGGAAGAAAGAAAAAAAGUCAAGUCAUUCGGUAAAAAGUAGCGUAAGCUAGAACACAUUUUCACAAUUGUUAUAAAUUAACCCAAUUCUCAAGUUAAAUAAUUGUUCCCAUUUCUAACUAAAUCUACCCUAACUGUACUGUGGUAAGUUUAAUUAUAUUAGAUGUUUAUAAAUACCUAAAAUUGAACCUAACAGGAAUUAAAGCUACGGUACGGACAGAGUUAGUGCGGGUAGGAAACAGUACGGAUACAAUUGAUACGGAGAAACAGUACGGAUCGAAGACUGUGCGAACAAUACCAUUAGGAGCACAUUUAAAUUACAAUUUAAAUAGACUUCGAAACCGAACAGGUCAUUAAGGACACAGACUGAUUACUGUACGGGUACGAUUUAGACAGCUCUGUACGGCAGCGAAAACAUUAACAGAAUUUAUAAUCCAACCUUGAUUCACAACGAAUAAAGAAGAUUCAUAGAUUUGCUAGUUUUCACUGCUGUCCGG